UACGGAGGGGGCUAGCGUUAUUCGGAAUUACUGGGCGUAAAGCGCACGUAGGCGGACUGGAAAGUUGGGGGUGAAAGCCCAGGGCUCAACCCUGGAACUGCCUUCAAAACUCCCAGUCUUGAGGUCGAGAGAGGUGAGUGGAAUUCCGAGUGUAGAGGUGAAAUUCGUAGAUAUUCGGAGGAACACCAGUGGCGAAGGCGGCUCACUGGCUCGAUACUGACGCUGGAGGAGCGAAAGCGUGGGGAGCGAACAGG
rnacentral:rRNA from 1 species